CUUUGAACAUUGUAUGUCUUUUCCCCCCCUUUUCUUUCAUACACAGACAGGGCCGGACUGGGAGAAAAAUUCGGCCCGGGCAUUUUUUUUAACACAGCGGCCCACUAAGAAGGGGGCGGGGCAGAGAGGGUGUGUUUUGUCAUCACCUAUGACAAACUCGCCCCUCUCAAAGUGAGCAUGUAUGUUCAAUGCUCUCCCAGGGCAGACCAUGCGCAGAGCUCUGCUGAAGAGCUCUAGCAUGAGAAAAAAUGCUCUGUAUUUGUUCUGCACAGGGCAAGCAAAUUUAAAAACAUGCUUGCACUGUGUUUCCUUGCAACUUGUCUCUUGUGUCUCUAUAAAUGGAUGCCAGGAAAGAGUAUUGUGCAUGUGUUUGGAGCCUGCUUGUGGUAUUGCGUGUGUGUAGAGUGAGCUGAUCGUGGUGUGGUAUUGUGUGAUAAGGUUGGUUUUAGUCAUGUUGUGUUUGUGGUGUAAAGUGGUGUAAUGUGAUGCAUAUGUGGUUAUGGUCUGUAGAGAAUGUGUGUAUUGGGGAUAUAGCAAGUGUGUGCAUACAGGCUAUAGUGUGUGUGCGUAUAUAGGUGAUGUAGUGUGUGUUUA